GGGGAAUUUAUACAAUCAAUAAGCGGAGGAAAAGAAACCAACAGGGAUUGCCCUAGUAACGGCGAGUGAAGCGGCAACAGCUCAAAUUUGAAAUCUGGCUUCGGCCCGAGUUGUAAUUUGUAGAGGAUGCUUUUGGUGCGGUGCCUUCUGAGUUCCCUGGAACGGGACGCCUUAGAGGGUGAGAGCCCCGUAAAGUUGGACACCAAGCCUAUGUAAAGCUCCUUCGACGAGUCGAGUAGUUUGGGAAUGCUGCUCAAAAUGGGAGGUAAAUUUCUUCUAAAGCUAAAUACCGGCCAGAGACCGAUAGCGCACAAGUAGAGUGAUCGAAAGAUGAAAAGCACUUUGAAAAGAGGGUUAAACAGUACGUGAAAUUGUUGAAAGGGAAGCGCUCAUGACCAGACUUGUGCCCUGCGGAUCAUCCAGCCUUCUGGCUGGUGCACUUCGCUUGGUUCAGGCCAGCAUCGGUUCUCUGAGGGGGAUAAAAGCUUCAGGAACGUAGCUCUCUCGGGAGCAUUAUAGCCUGUUGCAGAAUACCUCUCGGGGGACCGAGGUUCGCGCAUCUGCAAGGAUGCUGGCGUAAUGGUCAUCAGCGACCCGUCUUGAAACACGGACCAAGGAGUCAAGCAUUAGUGCGAGUGUUUGGGUGUAAAACCCGCACGCGUAAUGAAAGUGAACGUAGGUGAGAGCUUCGGCGCAUCAUCGACCGAUCCUGAUGUAUUCGGAUGGAUUUGAGUAGGAGCAUUAACGCUUGGACCCGAAAGAUGGUGAACUAUGCUUGGAUAGGGUGAAGCCAGAGGAAACUCUGGUGGAGGCUCGCAGCGGUUCUGACGUGCAAAUCGAUCGUCAAAUCUGAGCAUGGGGGCGAAAGACUAAUCGAACCAUCUAGUAGCUGGUACGAGAGAUAUUUCCUCUCCCCAGAAGAAACCC
rnacentral:rRNA from 1 species